rnacentral:tRNA from 1 species
GCAGAUGUGGUGGAAUUGGUAGACACGCUAGCUUCAGGUGCUAGUGCCUUCAUCGGCGUGGGAGUUCGAGUCUCCCCAUCUGCA